UACAGAGGUGGCAAGCGUUGUUCGGAAUUACUGGGCGUAAAGGGCGCGUAGGCGGCCUUCUAAGUCAGACGUGAAAUCCCUCGGCUCAACCGGGGAACUGCGUCUGAGACUGGAAGGCUUGAAUUCGGGAGAGGGAUGCAGAAUUCCAGGUGUAGCGGUGAAAUGCGUAGAUAUCUGGAGGAAUACCGGUGGCGAAGGCGGCAUCCUGGACCGAGAUUGACGCUGAACGACGAAAGCUAGGGGAGCAAACGGG
rnacentral:rRNA from 1 species